rnacentral:rRNA from 1 species
GACGAACGCUGGCGGCGUGCCUAAUACAUGCAAGUUGAGCGAAGCGGCGGAUGGGUGAGUAACGCGUGGGUAACCUGCCCUUAAGUCUGGGAUACCAUUUGGAAACAGAUGCUAAUACCGGAUACUAAAGGAUGGACCUGCGAUGCAUUAGCUAGUUGGUAAGGUAACGGCUUACCAGGGCGAUGAUGCAGAGACGAGUUGAGAGACGGAUCGGCCACAUUGGGACGGGGACACGGCCCAAACGCCUACGGGAGGCAGCAGUAGGGAAUCGUACACAAUGGACGAAAGUCUGAUGGAGCAACGCGGCGUGAGUGAAGAAGGUUUUCGGAGCGUAAAGCUCUGUUGUUGGUGAAGCGGUAAUCAACCAGAAAGUCACGGCUAACUACGUGCCAGCAGCCGCGGUAAUAC